CCUCAGGUGGUCUAGUGGUUUAUGACGUUUCAUCAGCAGUCUCGAAAGAGCCUGGUGAAGAGAUCGGCGGUUCGAAUCCGUCCUUGGGGA